rnacentral:rRNA from 1 species
AACGAACGCUGGCGGCAUGCUUUACACAUGCAAGUCGAACGGUAACAGGCCGCAAGGUGCUGACGAGUGGCGAACGGGUGAGUAAUGCAUCGGAACGUGCCCAGUCGUGGGGGAUAACGCAGCGAAAGCUGCGCUAAUACCGCAUACGAUCUCUGGAUGAAAGCGGGGGACCGAAAGGCCUCGCGCGAUUGGAGCGGCCGAUGUCAGAUUAGGUAGUUGGUGGGGUAAAGGCCCACCAAGCCAACGAUCUGUAGCUGGUCUGAGAGGACGACCAGCCACACUGGGACUGAGACACGGCCCAGACUCCUACGGGAGGCAGCAGUGGGGAAUUUUGGACAAUGGGCGCAAGCCUGAUCCAGCAAUGCCGCGUGCAGGAAGAAGGCCUUCGGGUUGUAAACUGCUUUGUACGGAACGAAACGGUCCGGGUUAAUACCCUGGGCUAAUGACGGUACCGUAAGAAUAAGCACCGGCUAACUACGUGCCAGCCGCCGCAGUAAAAC